UACGAAGGGGGCUAGCGUUGCCCGGAAUUACUGGGCGUAAAGGGCGCGUAGGCGGGUGUUUAAGUCAGAGGUUAAAUCCCAGAGCUCAACUCUGGAACUGCCUUUGAUACUGGACACCUAGAGUACGGGAGAGGUGUGUGGAACUCCGAGUGUAGAGGUGAAAUUCGUAGAUAUUCGCAAGAACACCAGUGGCGAAGGCGGCUCACUGGCCCGAUACUGACGCUGAGGCACGAAAGCGUGGGGAGCAAACAGG
rnacentral:rRNA from 1 species